AAAAUUAUACGUUUUGCAAAUACAUUAAAACAUGUUAUAUAUUGAGAUGUUUUACAGAUAUGUUUAUAUAUUUCCUCGGUGUAGCUCAGAAGGAAGAUCGUUGAGUUUUGUUUUUGAGUUAUGUCAUCGAAGCAUGUGCUCUGUGCUGACGUCAGCAAUCUAUGUGCACCGUUGUGUGCAACGUCACGGGCCCUUGGUAACCGGCGGCGGCGUCUUCGUGAGCUACAGCCAAAAGAUGGGUCUGCUCUCCAUCCUGCGUAAACUGAAGAGCUCCCCGGACCAGGAGGUACGGAUACUGCUGCUGGGCCUGGACAACGGGGGCAAGACCACCCUGCUGAAGCAGCUGGCAUCUGAGGACGUCAGCCACAUAACGCCCACGCAGGGCUUCAAUGUCAAGAGCGUGCAGUCUCAGGGGUUCCGGCUCAACGUGUGGGACAUCGGUGGCCAGCGGAAGAUCAGACCCUACUGGAGGAACUACUUCGAGAACACAGACGUGCUUAUCUACGUCAUCGACAGCGCAGAUCGUAAAAGGUUUGAGGAGACGGGCCAGGAGCUGGCUGAGCUGCUGGAUGAGGAGAAGCUAAGCGGCGUCCCCGUGCUCGUCUUCGCUAACAAGCAGGACCUGCUGACGGCCGCACCUGCCUCUGAAAUCGCCGAGGGCCUUAACCUGCACACCAUCCGGGACCGUAUCUGGCAGAUCCAGUCCUGCUCGGCGCUGACUGGCGAGGGCGUCCAGGACGGCAUGACCUGGGUCUGUAAAAGCAUCAACGCAAAAAGGAAGUAGAGUGUCUCGUCCCCGUGCCAGGUCAGUGGGCCCGAGGAGGGAAACACAAGGGAGUCCCUCCGAGAUCAAAGGGUCCGGAGGGAUCACCGAUGGAGUUGACCAUCCUGCCCACUACUGUGAGCUGAUGAGACACACUUGGGAGGGGGCUGAGAGGUUCCAAUCUUAAGGGUUUUCUGGUCCUCAUCUCCUGCCCAGAUUGAACUGGAAAUCCACCCACACGCUGACCAAGCGAGAGAAUAAUUACCGUCGUCAUAUUCCUUCACUGAGCCCCCGGAAAGGUCUCCUUCCUACCAGCUCUGUAAAGACCAAUCCCACCCUGUGGCGCGUGUCAUCUGUCCUCUGGAAGUGAUUAAUAUUUUGUUAAUUCUCCCGGUUUAUUAAGAUCAAAGAGGCGUCACGUCGCCUGAAGCUGCUGUAUUCUCAUCUUCUUUUGGGAAAUCUGUCACUGAUCUCAUACCUGAGCAGAGGCCACGCCCAGCUGAGGACACCAGACAUAUCUCUCCACGCAUCAUAGACGUGCCAGUCGUCAUGGCUUUCACACGCCUGACGUGUGUGAGCAGUACGUUCCUGGAGUUCCUUCAUCAUACAGACAUUUUUUGCUUUAGGGUCCGGUUCUUUAAACAAAUUCCCAGCUGGCGGCCUGUUUGAGCUGUGACCUGUGAAGUCCCUCACCGAUCCCCCGGAUCAGCGCGUGGAGCAGAGGCCACGGACCUGUGUGCUGUGCUCAGGCUCCACGGCGUGUCACACCUGCCCAGCUGCCCAUCGUGCCGGAGUGAAGGCCCAUCUGCCUGGCCUGAAAGACUCUGAUGUCAUUUCCUGUGCUUUGAGGGGUUCCUGGGCCUCCAGCUCUGCAUCUGAACGCCUUUCAGCACAGCGACACCUAACACUGCCCCGGAUUUCAGCGCGGGGGGGGGGGGGCUAUUGUGACCCGCCGGUAAAUGGGAAGAGGGGUGGAAGCUGGCCGAGGCGUGGUCUUGCUCCCUGUCCAUCACUGUCUGCGCGGAGAGCAGAUUUUCACAGGCAGGAUCCCUUAGGAAGUCAGCGCAACUGUGCAGCACCGAUACGGCUGCUUGGAGACAUGCCGCUCAGGAUUAGGUUUAGGGUUAGGGUUAGGUUAGGGUUAGAGGACCAAGCUGGCCCUCAUUACUCUGUAAAGCUGCUCUGACUGCUCGCUUAGCAAGCAGGAUGUACGAAACUCCGGUCACCUUAAUCAACGAAGGACAUUCCUGCGACGGAGAGCAUUUGGCGGGCAGUGACAAGGGUGACAUUCAGGCUCGAAGAGCUAUUAUUCAUGGACGGAAAAGAAGCACAACGUCUCAAUCAAAGGCAUGAUUUAAGGAGAGAGAAUCUUGAAGGGAAAAGACAAGGUCAAGUCUAAUCAAUACUUCAGUGCUGGAGACCAGUUUGGAGCAGAAUACAGAAACAAUCCUUCAGAGGAGGCAGAGGGCCCUGCUUUGGCCCUCUUGGUAGCACAGUGGAGAUUCACACUUCACAUUCCAGUCAGCUCUAUGUAAAAUGUUACCAUCACUUAGAUAUUCAAUAUCUCUAACAUUGCUGUGUUCCUUUAAUCCAUCAGAGAGACUGAGUAAAAUACGUUACAUUACACAUGUAGCCCUGGAUGUUUGAGACAGCCAUUAAAAAUGCCGGAGCACUUUCA